UACGGAGGGUGCAAGCGUUGCUCGGAAUUAUUGGGCGUAAAGGGUAGGUAGGUGGUCUCAUUUGUCUGGGGUGAAAGCCUUGAGCUUAACUCAAGAAGUGCCUCAGAAACGGUGAGACUAGAGUCUUGGAGAGGGUCGUGGAAUUCCCGGUGUAGCGGUGAAAUGCGUAGAGAUCGGGAGGAACACCAGAGGCGAAAGCGGCGACCUGGACAAGUACUGACACUCAACUACGAAAGCGUGGGGAGCAAACAGG
rnacentral:rRNA from 1 species